CUUAAUUAGAAGAGUUAACGGAACACUAACCAUGGCCAUUCUGGCCAAUUUUAUUUAUAGUUGCAGGCCUAGUCUACAAUUUAGACUGUCAGCCAAGGUCACUGGGAAACAGCUGUUUGGAAAGUCGGAAUUUCCCAGCCAACCAACGUGAGAGAAAGAGCAAAUAGCAAGCAGUCUGAGCGUGAUCAUAUCAAAGACAAACAGCGCUUAAAAAUAGAUCAAAGACAAUCUUAGUGAUUAAAUAUUUGUAUUGCUAAAUUAGGUUCCAAGUAGUCCACUAAAUGCCAGAAAAUGUUAGUCACGAAGAGGUGGAAAAUAAUAUUAUUUUGUUUGUAUGGAAAUUAUUCUUGUACGCUAAAUUGCAAUCUACAACAACGGACAACUUCUUCUAUAUAUUAUUGCUAGAAAUUAAUUUAUUUUGCUUUCCAAAGUCCAAAGAAAUCUUUAUUAUUUUGGCACGAAAAACAAUUAUCUUUUAUUCUGCCAAAAAAGACGAUAAUAUUUGCAGAGCAAACACGCGUCAGUGUAGGGGUUGGGUUAUGUUAAGUUCUUAGGAUCCUCCCAAGCUAUUGCACAUGUUUGAAGUCUGUUUGCAUUUGGUCAAGUCCGUGCCACACCACGCUGUGAACAGUUGAAUAUUCAUUUUUAGUUGCAGAGUACAAAUGAAGGUAAAUAAUUAUAAAACUUACUCAAACGAUUGACACAACCACUGACACCCAUGACGCAGCUAUUGCUGAAUUUGCAGCGCACCAAUUGACCAUUUUUGCGGGUCUCUCCGCACACUGGACUGUAGACUGCAGGACAGAUGCUGGGACAUUGCUCCCUUGAUUGUGCUUCCGAAAAGGUACAGACCAGGAGCAGUCCAAGGAGCAGCAGAAACGACUUCAUUGCUGUAAUGUAGGAGGAGAUCUUCUGGUUGAUAACAGUCAGUGCGAGGAGCUUUUAUAGGGCAGCCUCUGAGGGAUGAGCUAUAAUUGUACACAGUUCAACGCACGCUGAAACAGCUGUUAAAAGUUCAUUUUUAAUUAAGAUUUAAAAUUAAAUUACAAACCAUUUUAUUUAGCUCAGUUUUUAUUGCAGUUCAUUUGCCUUUCUGGGGAUUGUCAAUCAAACGGCUACGAAGCUCCCGCCCCUUUAUCAAGCAUCACACAGUUACCAUUCCACACCCAGCCAACUUGGACACUGGUUAAGAGCUUUAACCUUCAGGCCAUACAAUUGCCUGGCGCUAGGCAUGGGAUCGCCUUAAAUGGUC
rnacentral:lncRNA from 1 species